rnacentral:rRNA from 1 species
AGUACGUGAAACUGCUUAGAGGUUAAACCCGAUGAACCUGAAUAUCCAUUAUGGAAAAUUCAAUACUAAUAAUACAAUAUAACAUCAUAUUGUAAAAAUAGUGUGCAAUUUUUCCAUAUAAGGACAUUGUAAUCUGUUAAUGUAAUAAUUAUUUAUCAAAAGAUUCUUUACUUAAGUUUAUUUAAAUUGUUUAUUUUCGGAUAUUCAACAUAAAAUAAAUGUAUUGAAUCAGAUAAAUCAUUGACAGAUAUAAUUAUAUAUGGUGCUUAAAUUUUACGGAAUUUUGCAAUGGUAAAUAGUUCUUAUGAUCUAUUUAUUAUAUUGUUUGCGCUAUUAUGAUUAACAAUGCGAUAGAUUCAGGAUACCUUCGGGACCCGUCUUGAAACACGGACCAAGGAGUCUAACAUAUGUGCAAGUCAUUGGGUAUUUUUAAUAAAACCCAAUGGCAUAAUUAACUUAACUUAUAUAUUAUAAUGGGAUUAAUUUAUAAUUUAUUAUGAAUUAUUUAUUCAAUCCCGGGGCGUUCUAUAUAGUUAUGUAUAAUAGUAUUUAUAUUAUUUAUACCUCUAACUAGAGCGUACCUUGAGC